UAGGGAAUCUUCCGCAAUGGACGAAAGUCUGACGGAGCAACGCCGCGUGAGUGAUGAAGGCUUUCGGGUCGUAAAACUCUGUUGUUAGGGAAGAACAAGUACGAGAGUAACUGCUCGUACCUUGACGGUACCUAACCAGAAAGCCACGGCUAACUACGUGCCAGCAGCCGCGGUAAUACGUAGGUGGCAAGCGUUAUCCGGAAUUAUUGGGCGUAAAGCGCGCGCAGGCGGUUUCUUAAGUCUGAUGUGAAA
rnacentral:rRNA from 2 species